UAAAGAGUUCGUAGGCGGUUUGUUAACUUGGAUGUUAAAUUUUGAGGCUCAACUUUAAAAAAGUAUCCAAAACCUGCAUAACUGGAGACUGGUAGAGGUAAGUGGAUUCUGCAUGUAGGGGUAAUAUCCGUAGAUAUGCAGAGGAACACCAAAAGCGAAGGCAGCUUACUGGACCAGUUCUGACGCUCAAGAACGAAAGCGUGGGUAGCGAACGGGAUUAGAUACCCCGGUAGUCCACGCCCUAAACGAUGAACACUAGGUAUUGGAGGUCUCGACCCCUUCAGUGCCGACGCAAAUGCAAUAAGUGUUCCGCCUGGGUAGUACGAGCGCAAGCUUAAAACUCAAAGGAAUAGACGGGGACCCACACAAGCGGUGGAGCAUCUGGUUUAAUUCGACAAUAAGCGAGGAACCUUACCAAGGCUUGACAUCCCGAGAAGAUCGCCGAAAGGUGAUUGUGCCGUUAGGAACUCGGUGACAGGUGCUGCAUGGUUGUCGUCAGCUCGUGCCUUGAGGUGUUCGGUUAAGUCCGUGAACGAGCGCAACCCUUGUCUCAAGUUGCAUAUUUCUUGAGAGACUGCCGGUUUCAAAUCGGAGGAAGGUAAGGAUGACGUCAAAUCAGCAUGGCCCUUAUGUCUUGGGCGACACAGGUGCUACAAUGGCCGGUACAAUGGGCAGCGAAGGAGCAAUCUGGAGCAAAUCCUCAAAACCGGUCCAAGUUCGAAUUGAAGGCUGCAACUCGCCUUCAUGAAGUUGGAAUCGCUAGUAACCGCAUAUCAGCCAUGGUGCGGUGAAUCCGUUCCUGGGUCUUGUACUCACCGCCCGUCAAGUCAUGAAAGAUGGGGGUGCCCGAAGUACCCUUAGCUAAUUUAGCGGGGUCAUAAGGCAAAAC
rnacentral:rRNA from 1 species